rnacentral:rRNA from 1 species
AUUGAACGCUGGCGGCAGGCCUAACACAUGCAAGUCGAGCGGAGCGGCGGACGGGUGAGUAAUGCCUAGGAAUCUGCCUGGUAGUGGGGGAUAACGUCCGGAAACUGGCGCUAAUACCGCAUACUAUCAGAUGAGCCUCUGUCGGAGUAGCUAGGUGGUGGGGUAAAGGCCUACCAAGGCGACGAUCCGUAACUGGUCUGAGAGGAGGAUCAGUCAACGUGGAACUGAGACACGGGCAAGAUUCCGACGGGAGGCAGCGGUGGGGAAUAGUGGACAAUGGGCGAAAGCCUGAUCCAGCCAUGCCGCGUGUGUGAAGAAGGUCUUCGGAUUGUAAAGCACUUGAAGUUGGGAGGCGUUACCAACAGAAUAAGCACCGGCUAACUUCGUGCCAGCAGCCGCGGUAAUUC